rnacentral:rRNA from 1 species
AGUGAACGCUGGCGGUGGGCCUAACACAUGCAAGUCGAACGGCAGCACAGUAAGAGCUUGCUCUUACGGGUGGCGAGUGGCGGACGGGUGAGGAAUACAUCGGAAUCUACUUUUUCGUGGGGGAUAACGUAGGGAAACUUACGCUCAUACCGCAUACGACCUACGGGUGAAAGCAGGGGAUCUUCGGACCUUGCGCGAUUGAAUGAGCCGAUGUCGGAUUAGCUAGUUGGCGGGGUAAAGGCCCACCAAGGCGACGAUCCGUAGCUGGUCUGAGAGGAUGAUCAGCCACACUGGAACUGAGACACGGUCCAGACUCCUAAGGGAGGCAGCAGUGGGGAAUAUUGGACAAUGGGCGCAAGCCUGAUCCAGCCAUACCGCGUGGGUGAAGAAGGCCUUCGGGUUGUAAAGCCCUUUUGUUGGGAAAGAAAAGCAGCAGGUUAAUACCCCGCUGUUCUGACGGUACCCAAAGAAUAAGCACCGGCUAACUUCGUG